rnacentral:rRNA from 1 species
CCUACGGGUGGCUGCAGUGGGGAAUAUUGGACAAUGGGCGAAAGCCUGAUCCAGCCAUGCCGCGUGUGUGAAGAAGGCCUUCGGGUUGUAAAGCACUUUCAGUGGGGAAGAAAGCCUUGGGGCUAAUACCCUCGAGGAAGGACAUCACCCACAGAAGAAGCACCGGCUAACUCCGUGCCAGCAGCCGCGGUAAUACGGAGGGUGCGAGCGUUAAUCGGAAUUACUGGGCGUAAAGCGCGCGUAGGCGGUCUGAUAAGCCGGUUGUGAAAGCCCCGGGCUCAACCUGGGAACGGCAUCCGGAACUGUCAGGCUAGAGUGCAGGAGAGGAAGGUAGAAUUCCCGGUGUAGCGGUGAAAUGCGUAGAGAUCGGGAGGAAUACCAGUGGCGAAGGCGGCCUUCUGGACUGACACUGACGCUGAGGUGCGAAAGCGUGGGUAGCAAACAGGAUUAGAUACCCUGGUAGU